rnacentral:rRNA from 1 species
CGUCCCAUUAGCUAGUUGGUGAGGUAACGGCCCACCAAGGCGACGAUGGGUAGCCGGCCUGAGAGGGUGGACGGCCACACUGGGACUGAGACACGGCCCAGACUCCUACGGGAGGCAGCAGUAGGGAAUUUUCGGCAAUGGGCGAAAGCCUGACCGAGCAACGCCGCGUGAGGGAAGAAGGUCUUCGGAUCGUAAACCUUUGUCAUCGGGGACGAUGAUGACGGUACCCGAGGAGGAAGCCCCGGCUAACUACGUGCCAGCAGCCGCGGUAAUACGUAGGGGGCGAGCGUUGUCCGGAAUUACUGGGCGUAAAGGGAGCGUAGGCGGUCUAAUAAGUCAGAUGUGAAACCCCCGGGCUUAACCCUGGGCUUGCAUUUGAAACUGUUGGACUUGAGGACAGGAGAGGAAAGCGGAAUUCCCAGUGUAGCGGUGAAAUGCGUAGAUAUUGGGAGGAACACCAGUGGCGAAGGCGGCUUACUGGACUGCACCUGACACUGAGGCGCGAAAGCCAGGGGAGCAAACGAGAUUAGAUACCCCGGUAGUCCUGGCCGUAAACGAUGGAUACUAGGUGUGGGAGGUAUCGACCCUUUCCGUGCCGGAGCAAACGCAAUAAGUUC